AGUGAACGCUGGCGGUAGGCCUAACACAUGCAAGUCGAACGGCAGCACAGUAAGAGCUUGCUCUUACGGGUGGCGAGUGGCGGACGGGUGAGGAAUACAUCGGAAUCUACCUUUUCGUGGGGGAUAACGUAGGGAAACUUACGCUAAUACCGCAUACGACCUACGGGUGAAAGCAGGGGAUCUUCGGACCUUGCGCGAUUGAAUGAGCCGAUGUCGGAUUAGCUAGUUGGCGGGGUAAAGGCCCACCAAGGCGACGAUCCGUAGCUGGUCUGAGAGGAUGAUCAGCCACACUGGAACUGAGACACGGUCCAGACUCCUACGGGAGGCAGCAGGGGGGAAUAUUGGACAAUGGGCGCAAGCCUGAUCCAGCCAUACCGCGUGGGUGAAGAAGGCCUUCGGGUUGUAAAGCCCUUUUGUUGGGAAAGAAAAGCAGCAGGUUAAUACCCCGCUGUUCUGACGGUACCCAAAGAAUAAGCACCGGCUAACUUCGUG
rnacentral:rRNA from 1 species